GUAUGCUGUUCACAAGAAAUGUGUUGGCUGUGGGGAAUCUUCAAUUACGCUGUUCACAUGACAUGUGUAACUGGAAGGCGAAUUCCGACCGUUGGCAGCGUAGAAGUGGAAGGAAAUGGAGACCGAACAUAUAUAUCCCAAGCUCUGUUGCUUCUGCUAUGGCAGCUUCGACCUCCUUGAGGGCUUCUCAUUCUCAGAUCAGGCUCUUCUCUUUUCCAAGGCCGCCGGGAAUAGGAGACCGAUCGUUGAAAGAGGGGUUUCUAUUAGGUAUGAUGCUGGUGGUCCCAAUGUUUUGGCCAAGACGAUAAGAAAUGAUUCCAGGGCUUCCACUCCCGGACUCUCUCAACGACUCUUCCAUUUCGGUUUUAGGGCUCAGGGAAAGCAUCAUCCGCUGGGUUCAAGCUUAAGCAACUCUUCCAAUUCGGUUUCACGGUUCAGGUAUUGAGAAUAGAAAUCAUCUUUUUUUCCAAUGUACCUUCAUUAUGCAAGUGUGGAGCGAUAUUUUUGGUACCUUUUGGCCAAAUAGCAAUCCAUCUUCUAGUGUCACUUCGGAGGAAGUAUGGAUUGCUAAGGCAUUUGGAAAUGACAGCAUUGGUGAUAUUGCUAAGCUGGCCUUUUGCUCUACCAUAUCUCAUAUAUGGUCUGAAAGAAACUUUCGAAGAUUUCGCAACAAAACAAGGCCUCGCCUUCUUAUUGUUAAAGAUAUCCGGCUCGAUGUGAUUAAUCGCUGCAAAAAUGGGAUCUUUAGAGGAAAAGAAUCAUCCUCAGUUGCCCUUAUUGUCAGAAAUUGGGGCUUGCAUGUUCUAUGUUGAUUGCCCUUCUCUUCCCUCCUAGCUGGUGUUGUGUUCUCAGCCGAUCUCUUAGGCUGUCUUGUAUUCUUGCAUUGUUUUGUUGCUGGUUUAGGAGGCUGUAGCUUGUCCCUUGGGGAUAUUCCUUUGGAAGGCUGUAUAGCUGCCUUUCCUCUUCUUUUUAUAUUCCCCUCUAUCUGUUUUGCUUCUUUUUUUUGCAAUAAAGUAAUAAAGUUGAUCUUAAAAAAAAUAAAUAAAUUAAUUAAAAAUAAAUAAAUAAAUAAAUAAAAAUGGAAACCUCAUUCUAAACAUUUAUGUAACUUAAGGAAGAGGUUGUUUGUCUGCACCUAUGAAGACUACACUAGGGAUGUCAUUGGAUAAGAACCUAUUUAUCCUUACCAUACAAAUCUACCAUUUCCUUGUUCUCUCAAUGUACCAGCCUCUUUUCUAGAACAUAACCUCAAGAAAAUUAAGGCUCAACACAUAAGCUGUUGAAUAACAUCAAGAAUAAGUUCAACACAUCAUUAGUUCAUUUAUAACAAUUAGAUGGAAAAUUAACAUAGGCAAAGCAUGAUCUGAUUUGGACAAAGUAUUAUCUAAAAUUUAGAGUCACACACAUGCAUCUUAUAAAGAAUAGUUAAUGUAAAGUGAUCAUGGUAUCCAAUUCCAAUAAGCUUAAAACAUAAAUCAUAUCAAGAUUAUAUCAUUUUAGUUUAGAAAAAACAGAACCUCUAUUACACCAAUAUCAUAUUAAUCCAGGAAAAAACUGUAAGAUAUAUUAGUGAACAAUAAAAGUAAAACUCUAUGUAGUAAAUUAGUGACUGACUAGUGGGAGAAAAAAGAAUAAGAGUUAGAAACUAUAAAAGAUAAAAAAAAAUAAUUCUACCACUAUCUCAUAUUUCUCUUUCUUCUUUCAAUUCACCAUUGUCUUCACUCAUUAAAUAUUCAACUUCAAUUGGAUCAAGACUAUAUAGGAACCAUGAUAACCUAGUCUGAUUUAUCCAAAAUUUAAGCUCCCGAAAACUUUUGUUUUUAUGAUCAUAAAACAAUACUUAUAGGUUUGAAAAUGCUUCUUAAGAAUAGAAUUUCACAAUUUCUCAAACAUUAUGGUAAUAAAACUAUGAGAUAUUUCUGUAGAAUCGGUUGUUUGGCAAUAGUAAAUUGCAUUGUCUAAGACUCUUUAACUAGGGGUGUCAACGGGUUGAUUUGGCUCAGGUUUGGUUUGAUUUUUCUAGUUUCGGUGUGAGUUUUAUAGAAACUGAAGGUGGACCAAUAAGAAGUUUCUGGUUUUGGCUUGAUUCUUGUUUCGUUUGGUUUGGGUUGGUGUUGGUUUGAAUUACCAGGUUCAAUACGAUUUGGUUCGAUUUUCAAACCUGGUAUGGAACUGGUAUCAGCUCGGUUAUAAACCGACCCAGCCUCAUUAUCAGGGAUUUAAAUGCCUCUGCUCAUUAUUAGGAAUGGUUCUCAUUAUAAAAGCAUAAGAGAUUCUCAGCAUUGUAAAUCCAAAAGAUCCAUUGUUCUCAUAAUGGAAACAAAAA